rnacentral:misc_RNA from 1 species
AGGUGAACCUGCGGAAGGAUCAUUAGAAAAGUAUGCGCCCACACGGGCAACCUGCGGGCAAGUUGGUAAAACGAGAGGAGGUGUUCGUUUUUUUUUUUACCCCCAAUGCACUUAUUGAAAAGACCCAAGUCGAAAAAAGAAAAUGGUGAUGGAAUAUUGGUCAAGGCCUUUGUUCAGCAUGCCGAUAUGUGGGUGUUGCAGGAUAAAAACUUCUGCUUACCUGGAAUCAAAUUUUUGGUGGAUAAUCUUUUGGUUGUUCCCUUAAUUAUGGGCUGUGCAAAAAGAGCUUUUUUUUUGCUGGCCUUAAAUUUAAAAUUCUUUUUCGACGCCGUAAUAACCUUUGCCUAAAUGUUUGUCUGAUCUUUUACUUAUAACGAGUAAAAAAAUUAAUACAACUUUCAACAACGGAUCUCUUGGCUCUCG